rnacentral:rRNA from 1 species
UACGGAGGGUGCAAGCGUUAUCCGGAUUCACUGGGUUUAAAGGGUGCGUAGGCGGGCAGGUAAGUCAGUGGUGAAAUCUCCGAGCUUAACUCGGAAACUGCCAUUGAUACUAUUUGUCUUGAAUAUUGUGGAGGUAAGCGGAAUAUGUCAUGUAGCGGUGAAAUGCUUAGAUAUGACAUAGAACACCAAUUGCGAAGGCAGCUGGCUACAGGUUGAUUGACACUGAGGCACGAAAGCGUGGGGAUCAAACAGG